GACGUAGGGUCCAAGCGUUGUCCGGAUUUACUGGGCGUAAAGCGCGCGUAGGCGGUCUGUUAAGUGCACAAGUGAAAGCUCCGGGCUCAACUCGGAAAUUGCUUUGCAUACUGGCAGGCUGGAGGGACGCAGAGGUCUGUGGAAUUCCUGGUGUAACGGUGAAAUGUGUUGAUAUCAGGAGGAACACCGGUGGCGAAGGCGGCUUUCUGGACAGAUACCGACGCUGAGGCACGAAAGCUAGGGGAGCAAACAGG
rnacentral:rRNA from 1 species